AUUGAACGCUGGCGGCAUGCUUUACACAUGCAAGUCGAACGGUAACAGGCCUUCGGGUGCUGACGAGUGGCGAACGGGUGAGUAAUGCAUCGGAACGUGCCCAGAGGUGGGGGAUAACGCAGCGAAAGCUGUGCUAAUACCGCAUGUGAUCUGAGGAUGAAAGCGGGGGACCAGGCAGCAAUGUUUGGCCUCGCGCCUUUGGAGCGGCCGAUGUCAGAUUAGGUAGUUGGUGGGGUAAAGGCCUACCAAGCCGACGAUCUGUAGCUGGUCUGAGAGGACGACCAGCCACACUGGGACUGAGACACGGCCCAGACUCCUACGGGAGGCAGCAGUGGGGAAUUUUGGACAAUGGGCGCAAGCCUGAUCCAGCAAUGCCGCGUGCGGGAAGAAGGCCUUCGGGUUGUGAACCGCUUUUGUACGGAACGAAAAGGCUCUGGCUAAUACCUGGGGCUGAUGACGGUACCGUAAGAAUAAGCACCGGCUAACUACGUG
rnacentral:rRNA from 1 species